rnacentral:rRNA from 1 species
CGCGUAGGUGGUAGUGCAAGUCGUGAAGGUGGAAUCCCAGGGCUUAACCCUGGAACUGCCUUGGAAACUGCAUUACUUGAGUCAGGUGAGGGGAGGGUAGAAUUCCUGGUGUAGCGGUGAAAUGACGUAGAUAUCAGGAGGAAGGCCGGUGGCGAAGGCGGCCCUCUGGCGCUGGAACCUGACACUGAGGCGCGAAAGCGUGGGGAGCAAACAGGAUUAGAUACCCUGGUAGUCCACGCCCUAAACGGUAGGGUACUAGGUGUAGGGCUCGUAAGGGUUCUGUGCCGAAGCGAAAGCAUUAAGUACCCCGCCUGGGGAGUACGGCCGCAAGGUUGGAA